rnacentral:lncRNA from 1 species
GAAGGUCAUGGAAGAAUGUCACUGCCUCCUGCUCUGAUCUCUCUACUGAACUUCCCAACAGGGCCCGGAGGGCUACCAGGGGCUGGCAUUGGCGGUGUUGGUGGCCUGGUGCCAGGUGGUGUCGGAGGUCUGGUGCCUGGUGUUGGAGGCAUAGGCGGCAUUGGAGGUGUCGGAGGUCAGGCAGCUGCAGCUGCAGCUGCCAAAGCAGCUGCCAAGGCCGCCAAAUACGGGCCUGGUGGAAUUGGGCCAGGGGCUGGUGGAGUGCCAGGCAGAGUGCCAGGUGUAGUGCCUGGGGCCGGCGGGCUGCCAGGAGUGACACCUGGGGCUGGUGUAGUACCAGGCCUCGUGCCUGGUGUGGGAGUGCCAGAUGGUGGCAUUUUACCUGGAGUGGGUAAGUGUUCCAGGUCUUGCCUGCUCAGUUCUCUCUGCAUGUGCACAUAAAGUUUGUCCCACAUGAGCAGUGGUGGGUGUGGAGAGAAAGGGUGUCCUGGAGCAGGGAGAAACAGAGCAUCUCCUGAG